CCAGUACUGAUUUAUAAUAAAAUUUAAUUUUUUGUUAAGCUUCCUAGAAAAGCUCGUAGUAUUUAUAUUGUCAAAUUACCUGUACCUUAAACCGACACAGGUAGGUGGGUAGAGUAUACCUAGGGGCGCGAGAUAACUCUCUCUAAGGAACUCGGCAAAAUGGCCCCGUAACUUCGGGAGAAGGGGUGCCUCUUUCAAAAGAGGCCGCAGUGACCAGGCCCAAGCGACUGUUUACCAAAAACACAGGUCUCCGCUAAGUCGUAAGACAACAUAUGGGGGCUGACGCCUGCCCAGUGCCGGAAGGUGAAGGAAGUUGGUUAUUCAUUAUAAGAAGCUAAUAACCGAAGCCCCGGUGAACGGCGGCCGUAACAAUGACGGUCCUAAGGUAGCGAAAUUCCUUGUCGGGUAAGAUCCGACCCGCACGAAAGGCGUAACGAUUUGGGCGCUGUCUCGGAGAGAGACUCGGUGAAAUAGACAUGUCCGUGAAGAUGCGGACUUCUUGCACCUGGACAGAAAGACCCUAUGAAGCUUGACUGUAGCUUGUAAUUGGGUUCGGGCUUUUUUGCGCAGCCUAGGUGGGAGGCAUUGAUAAUUUUCUUCUGGGAAAAUUUGAGCCGUUCGUGAGAGACCACUCUGAAAGAGCUAGAAUCCUAAUAAUGAUCCUUGAAUCAGGACAUUUGACAGUUGCAGGUGGGCAGUUUGACUGGGGCGGUCGCCUCCUAAAAAGUAACGGAGGCGUGCAAAGGUCCCCUCAGGCUGGACGGAAAUCAGCUUAAGAGUGUAAAGGCAAAAGGGAGCUUGACUGCAAGACUUACAAGUCGAGCAGGGGCGAAAGCCGGCCUUAGUGAUCCGACGGUACCGCGUGGAAGGGCCGUCGCUCAACGGAUAAAAGUUACUCUAGGAUAACAGGCUGAUCUUCCCCAAGAGUUCACAUCGACGGGAAGGUUUGGCACCUCGAUGUCGGCUCAUCGCAACCUGGGGCGGUAGUACGUCCCAAGGGUUGGGCUGUUCGCCCAUGAAAGCGGUCCGUGAGCUGGGUUCAGAACGUCGUGAGACAGUUCGGUCCAUAUCCGGUGUAAGCGUUAGAGUAUUGAGAAGAUUCUUUCAUUGUACGAGAGGACCUGAAAGAACGUACCACUAGUAUACCAGUUCUCGUUCCAACGGGAUACGCUGGGUAGCCAAGUACGGAGCGGAUAACUGCUGAAAGCAUCUAAGUAGGAAGCCCACUUCAAGAUGAGUACUCUCUUAAGGUCACGGUAAGACCAACCGUUUGAUAGGUAUCAGGUGAAAGGCCAGUAAUGGCUGAAGCUGAGAUAUACUAAUAGACCGUAUGA
rnacentral:rRNA from 1 species